GAUGAAGAACGUAGCGAAAUGCGAUACUUGGUGUGAAUUGCAGAAUCCCGUGAACCAUCGAGUCUUUGAACGCAAGUUGCGCCCGAAGCCAUUAGGCCGAGGGCACGCCUGCCUGGGCGUCACACGUCGUUGCCCCCCCAUCUACUCCUUCGGGAUUGCGGGGGGCGGAUGAUGGCCUCCCGUGCGCCUCGCCGCGCGGUUGGCAUAAAUGCCAAGUCCUCGGCGACGCACGCCACGACAAUCGGUGGUUGCGAAACCUCGGUUGCCCGUCGUGUGCGGUCGUCGCGCAUCGAGGGCUCGAAAAAAUUGCCGGGUUCCGGCUCGGCUUUCAACGCGACCCCAGGUCAGGCCGGGUUACCCGCUGAAUUUAAGCAUAUCAAUAAGCGGAGGA
rnacentral:misc_RNA from 1 species